UACGUAGGGUGCGAGCGUUGUCCGGAAUUAUUGGGCGUAAAGAGCUCGUAGGCGGCUUGUCGCGUCGGAUGUGAAAGCCCGGGGCUUAACCCCGGGUCUGCAUUCGAUACGGGCAGGCUAGAGUUCGGUAGGGGAGAUCGGAAUUCCUGGUGUAGCGGUGAAAUGCGUAGAUAUCGGAAGGAACACCAGUGGCGAAGGCGGCUCGCUGGGCCGGACCUGACGCUGAGACGCGAAGGCGUGGGGAGCGAACGGGG
rnacentral:rRNA from 1 species